GAUGAAGAACGUAGCGAAAUGCGAUACUUGGUGUGAAUUGCAGAAUCCCGUGAACCAUCGAGUCUUUGAACGCAAGUUGCGCCCGAAGCCACUAGGCCGAGGGCACGCCUGCCUGGGCGUCACACGCCGUUGCCCCCCCAUCUACUCCUUCGGGAUUGCGGGGGGGCGGAUGAUGGCCUCCUGUGCGCCUAGCCGCGCGGUUGGCAUAAAUACCAAGUCCUCGGCGACGCACGCCACGACAAUCGGUGGUUGCGAAACCUCGGUUGCCCGUCGUGUGCGUUCGUCGCGCAUCGAGGGCUCGAAAAAAUGCUCGGCUCCGGCUGGGAUUUCAACGCGACCCCAGGUCAGGCGGGGUUACCCGCUGAAUUUAAGCAUAUCAAUAAGCGGAGGA
rnacentral:misc_RNA from 1 species